AUUGAACGCUGGCGGCAUGCCUAACACAUGCAAGUCGAACGAGUGGCGGACGGGUGAGUAAGGUCUGGGAAACUGCCUGAUGGAGGGGGAUAACUACUGGAAACGGUAGCUAAUACCGCAAACCAUCUGCUGUGCCCAGAUGGUAUUAGCUAGUAGGUGGGGUAAAGGCUAAGCUAGGCGACGAUCCCUAGCUGGUCGGAGAGGAUGAACAGCCACACUGGAACUGAGACACGGUCCAGACUCCGACGGGAGGCAGCAGUGGGGAAUAUUGCACAAUGGGCGCAAGCCUGAUGCAGCCAUGCCGCGUGUAUGAAGAAGGCCUUCGGGUUGUAAAGUACUUUCAGCGGGGAGGCGUUACCCGCAGAAGAAGCACCGGCUAACUCCGUGCCAGCAGCCGCGGUAAUUC
rnacentral:rRNA from 1 species